UGCAAUGCCAAUUGCGCCAUCCGACAAACAUCUUUCUCUUCUUGCACCACCACAUCCUGGUGAUGGUGCAACUGUAUACGUGUCUGUACCUAUGUUGCAAUAACUAACCCUAAGUAUAAAAGCCCACGCUCUGCCUCAUCCCGGCAGAGUGAUCCCGGCAGUGUACUCCCCAACAAGUGGUAAAUACAAGUUUCCUUAUAAUCUACUCAGUGUUUAUGUGUUAGUGUUAGUUCAGUAUAAGUGUAACUUCAGUGUAAGUGCAUAUUGUGAUCCAAUUAUCACACUGUCAUCUUGCCUAAACAUGUUCCAGUUUUUUGGGGGCCAAGUAAAAAAGUAAAAGAAAUUCAAAACAGAGAAUGUAUACAAACGAUAUAAAUUCCAUAAUAGAGGAAUAUGGGGCUUUCCCUAAACUGCAAAAGCGAAAGUCGAAACGUGAAACGCCUAAAAAAAGAAACAGCUUGCCAAACGGACCAAACUGUUGGGACCCUGUUUCGCAUUUUAGUUGUUGUUACCGUGCUAAACUUUGGUGGCGCGAAACAUCAUGACAUGAGAACUUCCUUGUAACAGACGAUGACGCCAUAAACAAACUUAAAGUCACUAAAAGCGCCCUUGAGAUAAGUUUAUCUUAGUUUCUUUUUUUUAAAUAAAUUAAUUAAAGGAUAUUAAAGUCUCGUGUAUUUAUUUAAAGUAUUACUACUCUCUCAGAAAUAUGUCGGUAGUUUUACCGAGUAAAAUCUCGGUAAUAAACGUCCAGACAAUAUUUUGUCGGGAUUUUUUGUAUCAAGAUUUAAAAUCGCUACCAUUGUCGAUUAGCGCCUUUCUGUUUUUGCUUUCCCGUUUUCAGACCGGAUAUACUCGCCCCUCUCAUUUUUUUGUCCCAAGUUCUAUCUGGGUUUUAAUGCCUACUCAGGGUUAGAGAGGGAGAGAUCCGAAAACUAAAUUUCCACCCACUCCCGAUCCUAAGAUUUUAAAAUUAUAUUUUCUUUUCUCUUCUACUCCGUUCCUCUCUUACUUUACAUAUCCAAUUGUUGUUUUAACCAUUUUGUGGGGAUUGAAAAAAGUAUCAAGAAAAAUCGAAAUCCUGUAAAAAUUAAACCAUAGUUAGUAAGGGGGGGGGGAUAUUGAUAUAGCUGGUAUAAUAAUAGGCAGACGUAGUUUUAUCUUGCUUUAUAAAACGAUGAAGGCAGUUUAAAUGACCUAAUUUGACCUAACAUAACGCUGUCUACAUUUUUUACUUCGAAUUUAUUUACCCCAUUAAAUUUAUUUACCCAUAAUUAAUUCCCCCUUUUACCCUGUGUUGUGUACUUAAUCUAUGUUUAGUUGUCUUCCUUUUUCCAUUUCUUUAAUCAACCGCCGGCCAAAAGAGGAAAGGCGACAAUUUUAAUUUGUAUGCCUCUUUUUUUCUUCAUCAAUACCACAAUUGAUUAUCGGUAUUCUUAAAGUAGGUUUUUUUGGAAAAAAAUUAUCAAACAACGACAUCUAUCUCGGCAAUAUUUUACCGAGAUUUGAUCUCAGAAUUUUUUAACGACAUAUUUCAUGGGUAGUAAUUUCAUGUGAUUCGCAUUUAGUAUUCUGACACCGCCAUGCUUCCUGAACGUAAGUAACUUCCUCGGUUUAACAAUCUUAUUUUAUGAUCUGCCGAGUCUCGUUCGUAUGAAUUUGCCAAUUUGACGAUUUCAAUUUAUUAUUGAUUCCUCAUCUGAUUUUUAAUAUAUUGUUUCCAUGCUUUCACCUUUUUUGCUAACUAAUCUAUGCUUUUUUAUUUAAAUAAUGCAGUCAUGAUUGAUGUGACUUCAUGAAACCAGGAGUCCGGUGCGGAGGAUAAUGCGUCAAUAGACCAUUGCGACAGUGGCACAAAAUUAGCCAUACUAUAGAGGGACUUGGCAACGCAUAGUAGACAGCUUGUGUGAAUCAAAUCAAAACAAAAAUAAGUCAGUAAUAAAAAGAGUUUGAUUUCAGAAUUAAACUAAUGUCGCAGUAAUUAUCAGGAGUUAGUCUACUUUGCCAAACAAAACAAAAACCCCUUCUUCAUGAUUAUAAAGUGGAUUUCGCUAUUCAAGUAUUCAGGCAACGUGGAAAGUUCUGCUAGUAUGGAGCUCUAAAUGCUUCCCUCAAUCAUCAAAGAUUUUUACGAGAUUACACAUGUGAAAAGAAGUCAAACCCAUUUCGAUGCCGAAGAACUGUCGAAAAAUGGAUAUUCCAGCACCCUCAGUUUAUACACCAAAGAAAAGGAAGUGUCAGUGCGAGCAAAGGUCUCUCUAAUUUGGAGAGCACAUCAAUGUCAACCAAGUCUUGAGCCAAACUGAUUGGUUGACACAACUACUCGACGUGGAAGUUCAAGGUGGCCAUGUUGUGCAGCUGAAAGGUUCAUUGGAAACUCCCCCUACAGCAGUUCCUAUGCAGCCUUUCAAGAGCAAGAAAACUGAAAUCCUGUGAAGAAUUCAUCAGAAAAAGCAAAUAAAGAGGAGCUGUUAGUUGCUGAGCCAAUCGGUGUAACCUUGGUUCAGAUAAACCCCCCUAAGUGUUGAAGAUGAUUCUACUGUUACGAAGACGGAAGAUACUGCUAGCUGAUUAAGAAACCGACGAAGAAGAAAGUCUUGUCUCGUUAUGUGGAGUCAUUGAGCACAGCGGUCGGCUCAGUAGUUACCACAACACAGCUUUCUUAUAAGUAAAACCAGUAACAUCGCAUCCAUUAACCCAGCUUCAAAUGUCGCUUAAUACAA